AAGACCAUACUUUCAGGGGUCAUUUCUAUAGUUCUUUACUAGAGAAGUUCCUCUGAACAUGCAGAGCACCCAAAACCACCGGGAGGAAGCGCCGUGUUCUCUCCUGAGCGUGAAGCCGGCUGUUGGUGUUGUUUUGCAGCUGCCAAUAGCCACUGAUGAUCGUUCUUCUCUUCCAAAGGAAGAGAGAGAGGGGAGAACACGGAGUGGC